rnacentral:piRNA from 1 species
UGUUAGCAGGUUGUCCAGUGUUGGGUUCUC